rnacentral:rRNA from 1 species
GCAAGUCGAGCGGCCUUCGGGCAGCGGCGAACGGCUGAGUAACACGUGGGAACCUACCUUGAACUCAGGGAUAACUCCUCGAAAGAGGGGCUAAUACCGGAUGUCCCGGCAACGGGAAAGAUUUUUCGGUUCAAGAGGGGCCUACGGCCUAUCAGGUAGUUGGUGGGGUAAUUGCCUACCAAGCCUAUGACGGGUAACUGGUCUGAGAGGACGACC